CAAAACCUGAAAGUCAUCGUACAAGAACUACUAACAAAGAUCAUGUCUAAAGAGAUAUCCAAAAAUAAAAUAAAUAAAGAAUAUUUCAUCGCCCGAAAGAUGGACAAGAACAAAUAAGAUGACCCAUGUUAGCCUGGAGACGACGCACCCUUGGAUCAAGAUCUGCUAUCAAACUCUAGAGGUGAGGUCAUGUCUAAGCCUUUAGAACACUUUCUGCACUUAACAAAAGAAGAGUACAGGGUAGUAUCAGUACAAACCACUAUGUACUGGUAGGUAUCAUAGGCCAACUCAAUUUAAUAGCAUGUACACAACAUAAAUUAAAUAACAAAUAGGCAGGCAUCGUCACAUAAUAAAUAUUCAAUGAAUCAAUAAUACAGCAACAACAGGUCAAACAGUGCUCACAAAUAAGUCACAUAACCAUCAAGAGUAUCAACCAUGCUAUAAACAUCCACAAAUUCAACACAAUAUACACACACAUGCUAUGAGACUUAUUUUUGCCCAAAUAGUCAAGACCUACAGGGAACAAUCCAUGUUCAUGUACCGUGCCGGCUUGGUACCCGAUCCAAUAUAUACAUAUCCAUAUCGGCGAGGUACCUGAUCCAACAUAUACAUAUCCAUACCGGUAUGUACCCAAUCCAAUAUAUAUAUAUCCGUACCGGUGUGGUACCCGAUCCAAUAUAUACAUAUCCAUACCGGUGUAGUAUCCGAUCCAACAUAUACAUAUUCAUACCAGCAUGGUACCCGAUCCAACAUAUACAUAUCUGUACCGACGUGGUACCCGAUCAAACAUAUACAUAUCCACACCGGCGUGGUACCCGAUCCAACAUAUACAUAUCCACACCGACAUGGUACCCGAUCCAACAUAUACAUGUUCUAUCAAUAUCAAAUUUAUACUACCUCACAACAUACAACACGAUGUACCAAGUUUACAAGUACACUUAACGUCAUAAGACAAUUUCAUCAAGUAAAUUUUCAAUUAUCAUUUAUACACGCAUCAACAAUCCAAACAUCAACAAUUUCAAGCAUGUCCGAAUACCAAUCAACAAGUGUCCAAUUUAGGAGCAUACACAUAAUUAAGUCAAGUCUAAACUCUAAUUAAACCCUUAACCUACUUCGAUCGAUGAAUUCGAGUGUAGCUAGUCCACAAGCGCCUUGCCCUUUCUCAUAAUUUUGGAACGUUCAAAAAUCUGUUCAAGUACAUAUUCACCAUAAGAGUUCAAAUCUAAUUACACCCGUAAAAAUACGAACUAGUAUGUUGAAUUUAAACUAAAACGAAUCAUUAAUCGACUCUCUAAAUAAGAAUUUCUAAUCUACGAAUCCUAACCGAAUUUAAUCGCAAUUAUUAAUAACUGUGUGAAAUUGUAGUACUCCAAUUACACGGGAAAUCCCUUCAACCAUUAAAUUGUUGCUAAUCCCUAGAUUAUCAUUACAAAACUAAUGAUAAAUAAUAGAUUUCCUCAAAUUGAUUCGCCCAGUACAUGGCUUCUGCUAACUUCCAAUUUCACAAAUUAUAUGCACUAAGUGCAUGCUCGCCUAGCUUCCAAUUUCCUUAAUUAUAUGUACUAAUAAUGCACAGAUGAUGUUAAGAUAUUUUCUCAUUACAUUAAUGAAUUUUAAGGCAACAUAUUUCUCACCUCAGGUGUUGAUGCUGA
rnacentral:lncRNA from 1 species